UUACUGAUUGAUGCUUCGGCAGGUGGUGU
rnacentral:piRNA from 1 species